UCACAGUUCUGAAGGUUCAAAGUCCUGGAUGAAGGAUCUAUUUGCCUCAGUUCGAUUGGUGGAACCUAGACUCGUGUCGUUAGUGCUCUCACUAUUCAAAAACAAAAACAAAUAAGAAAAAGGAGAAACAAAGUCUUUCUGUCCUUUAAAAUGUGGAUGACUCCCAUGGCCUCUGCCUAACCCACCUGACAUACUGAAUUUGUGAGUGUUCAUCCUUCUCACCCCACUCCUAAUAUUCUAGCCGUACUUCCAGCCUGGCUUUGUUCUGGCCAG
rnacentral:lncRNA from 10 species